rnacentral:rRNA from 1 species
ACUCAAAGGAAUAGACGGGGCUCCGCACAAGCAGAGGAGGAUGUGGUUUAAUAUGACGCUACGCGUAGAACCUUACCGAGGCUUGACAUCCCUGGAAGGCGCUGGAAACAGUGCUGUGCCUUCGGGAGCCAGGUGACAGGUGCUGCAUGGCCGUCGUCAGCUCGUGUCGUGAGAUGUUGGGUUAAGUCCCGCAACGAGCGCAACCCUUAUCGUAUGUUGUAUUUUUCAUGCGAGACCGCCCGGGCCAACCGGGAGGAAGGUGGGGAUGACGUCAGGUCGGCAUGGCCCUUACGCCUCGGGCCACACACGUCCUACAAUGGCCGGUACAACGCGUUGCCAAGCCGCAAGGCGGAGCUAAUCGCACCAAAACCGGUCUCAGUUCGGAUUGGGGGCUGCAACUCGCCCCCAUGAAGUCGGAUUUGCUAGUAAACGUGGGUCAGCACACCGCGUUGAAUACGUUCCCGGAGCUUGUACACACCGCCCGU